UCCUGUUUGGCUCAGUUGGUAGAGCAUGGUGCUUGCAAUGCCAGGGUUGUGGGUUUGAUUCCCACCGGGGGAC
rnacentral:tRNA from 1 species